CCUCCUUUAAAGAAAUCGGAAGCUGGCGUGAAAGCGCCCGCACAAUCUGCCUAAUCUUUUCGAAAGUAGACCGCGGGUCUGUAGCUCAGUUGGUUAGAGCGCACCCCUGAUAAGGGUGAGGUCGGAAGUUCAAAUCUUCCCAGACCCACCACGUUAUUGCCUCUAGACGCACCAAGAAAGAUUUAAGGGGCCAUAGCUCAGAUGGGAGAGCACCUGCUUUGCAAGCAGGGGGUCGGCGGUUCGAUCCCGCCUGGCUCCACCAGGCGUUAAAA
rnacentral:tRNA from 1 species